AGGAAAGCAGGGGAUCGCAANCACCUUGNCGCUUUUGGAGCGGCCGAUGUCUGAUUAGCUAGUUGGUGAGGUAAAGGCUUACCAAGGCUUCGAUCAGUAGCUGGUCUGAGAGGACGACCAGCCACACUGGGACUGAGACACGGCCCAGACUCCUACGGGAGGCAACAGUGGGGAAUUUUGGACAAUGGGGGCAACCCUGAUCCAGCCAUGCCGCGUGAGUGAAGAAGGCCUUCGGGUUGUAAAGCUCUUUCAGCCGGAACGAAAAGGUUACGGUUAAUACCCGUGACUAAUGACGGUACCGGAAGAANAAGCACCGGCUAACUACGUGCCAGCAGCCGCGGUAAUACGUAGGGUGCGAGCGUUAAUCGGAAUUACUGGGCGUAAAGCGUGCGCAGGCGGUUUUGUAAGUCAGAUGUGAAAUCCCCGGGCUUAACCUGGGAACUGCGUUUGAAACUACAAAGCU
rnacentral:rRNA from 1 species